CUGAAUGCUCAAUUCCUACAUCUCUCAACUCCUUAAUUUUUAAAUCUCCAACUUCCAAAUGUUCAAAAAUUUCAGUCAUACCCCCUACAAGAUGUCUAUUCUAUUAAUACUAAAGUCUCCAGACAAAAAUGACGCCAAUGCGCAUGCGUAAGAAAGAAGGGCAUCGAACGUGAAUACAAGCAAAGGAAUCAGCGAGUUUCGUCGUUCGCUUAUUUAUAUGUUAAUAUUUAUGUUGAUAAAGAAAGUUAAUACACAAGAAAUUUUUGUUAAUAUAGAAAGCGUGUUAAGCACGUAAACGCAUUAUCGUAAGUAGUACCAUUAAAGAUACAAAUGUAAUAUUCUAACGACGAUUAUUAUUUUUAUUAUACACCGUUUAAUCGCCUUUCACAGGGUUGUUUUUCGUUUUCCCGUUAAGGAACAAAGUAUAUUUAAUAAUUUUCUUUUUGUUCUCUCCCUUUUUUGUACAAAAUAAACGAAGAAUUCGUAUUAAGGUUUUAUCACAAGCUCAAUUCAGCGUUGUAUUUAAUUGAAUAAUACGAUAAUGAUUAAUGGUCCAAAGACGAUUCUAAGAAUCGUCAGCCAGAUAUAUUUUUAUUUAUUCUUGCGAUUUGAUCGAGAACUGUAGGGUGACAAAGAAUCUUUGAAAGUUCAACUAUCUUCAGAAACCUUUUCUUUUCGAAGAACAUGCGUACUUUUUUUUUAACGGAGGCACUUUGUUUUAUUGUUGAAAAUAACGCGACAAGAGUUUAUCCGUAUGUCCGAUGUAUUUGAGAAUAUUAAUAUUUCGAAUAAUAUAAAUGAUAAAAAUUGUAUGAUAUCAAGAACAUGCUUGUGUCUGACUUUGCGAUGACCUUGAACGUCCUGUAAAAGUCAUAUUAGAAUGUUUAAAUAAAAUAAUAUAUUCUUUACACGGACUUCGAAGCAUUUUGCGUAAAAAAUUAUUAAAAUGUAAUAUAAAAAAAGUGGAUAAAUCUUGACAUUAUAUAAUUUUUGUCCGAAAUUUUAUUUCGCGUCAUUCAUUUGAAAUACUUGUGCUCAAAUAAACCGGACAUGUUACAUUUCUGUUUUUCGAGUCACCGAUCUUUAGGUAGACUUCAACGAAGAUAAAAGAGAUAAAAUGAUAAGGUAUACGGAUAAGAAGAAGGUACGCACAGUUAGGCAUCGAUUUCCUGUCGAUUGCUCGAUGUCGAUUGUAGAGGAAAGAAUUUCCUUCUCGACACAUUCCAUGAUAAUACUAAUACUAAUACCCUGUAACAAAGCGAACUAAUUUUCUGUUUCUUGGACUCUCGAUCGUCCGCUUUACGAGGAUGUAAUACGUAUAAGUCUUCGGAUAAAAAACAAGCGAGUGCUCUGUGUAUAUACACGCACGCGCGUACACGUGUGAGGAUGAAUAUCGCGUACGUAAAUUUAAAGAAAAAGAAAACCAAACUGCAGAGCUAAUAUUUUUCUGUUCUCCUUACUUGCGUAAGCCUGUAAAAAAUACCUGUACCUUAAAUGUUUUUGUAAUGCUCGACGAAUAGCAUGCGCUGCGUUCUAUCACAACGACACGAGUUUUCCAAAUCAUUUUCUACGUUUCCAAGUGAUCUUCCGUGUCGCGAACGGGCAGGAUAUCGUGAAGGCGUUCGGUUUCUCGGAUAGGCGUUGAUUACCAAAAUACUCCAUUACUUCUAAGGGCGAUGUGUAUAAUUACCGAAACGAGUGAGAGGAUUCAUAUUUUUUAGCGUUUAGAGGGAGAAACUAAGUAGCGAUAUAAUAACUGUUGCAAUGAGGAUUACGGUUGCCAAUGUUAAGCGUAACAGAAAAUGAUUGUGAUUUAUUUUGCAUCGAUGUUGGUGAAAUACGAUGAUCACUAUCGGUAAGAUAUGCUAUACAGAAAUAUAUACCGAGUGCUAUGUAAUUGGUGGUACAAGUGCGAUGCUGAUAGGAAUAGUAAUUGACAAUGUGUAUAAUUUAACAUAGUACAAAAUUAAUAUUAUUUUUAAAUAUAGCUGAGUUGAAGAUAUACAAUAAAAAUAAUAAUCUAUAAAGAGUGCUUUUACAAAAAAUUGUUACUCUACAUUUUCUAUUUAUAUUUUGUUCCACCAAUGGUUGUUCCACCAAUUACACAGUACCCAUGCAGGGUGACCUUACAACUUUGUUCACCUGAAAUAUCAUUGUUAUUAUAAAUAACAGGUGAAAAUGUUGCUUAUAAAAAUUAUAAAGAAAAUCAAUAAUUUCUUUAAAGGUGUACCUUCUAGGUAAAUUUUGUUUUCCAAAUAGAAUAUUCAAACUUCAAUAGAAUAAUUUUGAGUAUGAAAGAACUGAAAUGCAUUAUAGUCUACAGUCUUUAGAUAUAAUUUAAGAAAACAAUGAUGGGUCGGACAAAGGUGACUCACCCUGUAAAUUGCUCGUUAAGAUUAUUGUAUAAUCUUGCGUGUUGCGACAGCAGAAAUGUUCAGAAAAUCUGUUUCUCACCGCGUUCGUUUCUGAACAUUAGCUAGGACCUGCGAAUAAGAGUUGGUCCCCUGAGUUAGCGUUUCGUUUUCUUUUAAAAUACUAAAUGUUCGAUUGAUUCGAACCGCGCGAACAGAAAAAGUAAUUUAUAUUUAAUAAUUUUCGCUGACCGACGACAAGCAGCGUUUUAUCCUUGUAUAAAAAUCUACUAAGAUUGUAAUGGAGGCGAGACUGGAUCGCUCUAAUUGUAGCUAUAACGGAUUCAU